rnacentral:rRNA from 1 species
GACGAACGCUGGCGGCGUGCUUAACACAUGCAAGUCGAACGGAAAGGCCCUGCUUUUGUGGGGUGCUCGAGUGGCGAACGGGUGAGUAACACGUGAGUAACCUGCCCCUGACUGUGGGAGAACUUCAGGAAACUGGGGCUAAUACCGGAUAGGAGCUCCUGCUGCAUGGUGGGGGUUGGAAAGUUUCGGCGGUUGGGGAUGGACUCGCGGCUUAUCAGCUUGUUGGGGGGGUAGUGGCUUACCAAGGCUUCGACGGGUAGCCGGCCUGAGAGGGUGACCGGCCACAUUGGGACUGAGAUACGGCCCAGACUCCUACGGGAGGCAGCAGUGGGGAAUAUUGCACAAUGGGCGGAAGCCUGAUGCAGCAACGCCGCGUGCGGGAUGACGGCCUUCGGGUUGUAAACCGCUUUCGCCUGUGACGAAGCGUGAGUGACGGUAAUGGGUAAAGAAGCACCGGCUAACUACGUG